rnacentral:tRNA from 1 species
GAGGUAGUGAUCUAGCCUGGUUAUGAUGCCUCGUUCACACCGAGGAAAUCCGCGGUUCAAGUCCGCGCUACCUCACCA